rnacentral:sRNA from 1 species
GCCGGGUGUCGUGAUGCACACCUGUAAUCCCAGUGGCUCAGGAGGCUGAGGGAGGAGAAUUGCAUGUUUGAAGCCAGCUUUAGCAGUCUAGUGAGGCUGUACGCAACCUAUUGAGACCCUGUCUCAA